AGCAGAGAGCAGAGCAGCAGAAAAUCAAAAUCAGAAAAACAAGUGAAAUCAAGGAGUAAAACCGUCCUUUUAGCUAUCGCUUUGGUUCGUUAGAACUGUGUUUGUUAGAAACUUUAUUACUGAAGAAGUCUUGGACGUUGAAACAAAGUUGGAGCUGUUUUCGUCGACCACGAGGGAAGCUGGACGCUGAGCGCACCUGCGGUGCUAAGUUCCACCCUGUAAAGACAGACGAGGUUAAUCUGAGCCUGAGAGCUGGAGACAGAGAUGUGACACCUGACAGGAGCCAUGUUUACUCCUACUUCACCUCCAGGACUCAGAGUUGAAGCAGGAAACAGUUGGAGUGACAGAGAGAAGAGACAGACAUGAAGAUUUCCACAAGGACUCAGAGUUGAAGCAGGAAACAGUUGGAGUGACAGAGAGAAGAGACAGACAUGAAGAUUUCCACAAGGACUCAGAGCUGAAGCAGGAAACAGUUAGAGUGACAGAGAGAAGAGACAGACAUGAAGAUUUCCACAAGGACUCAGAGUUGAAGCAGGAAACAGUUGGAGUGACAGAGAGAAGAGACAGACAUGAAGAUUUCCACAAGCUCCACCUCUUCACGCCUGAUGACAUCAUCUUCAUCUUCAUCUCCUCCUCCUCCUCCUGCAGAGACAACAACAUGUUUAUUAGUACUACUGCUACAAUUAAUUAGUACUGUCACCACUAUUAAUUACUAUAUUAAGCACCAUUAGUAACUACAAUUAGUUGUAAUUAAGUACUAUUUAUACUUUUACAUGGUACCAUUAA